UGAGUAAUGUCUGGGAAACUGCCCGAUGGAGGGGGAUAACUACUGGAAACGGUAGCUAAUACCGCAUAACGUCUUCGGACCAAAGUGGGGGACCUUCGGGCCUCACACCAUCGGAUGUGCCCAGAUGGGAUUAGCUAGUAGGUGGGGGUAAUGGCUCAACCUAGGAAAGUACCCCUAGUUGGGUCUGAAAAGGAUGACCAGCCACACUGGAACUGAGACACGGUCCAGACUCCUACGGGAGGCAGCAGUGGGGAAUAUUGCACAAUGGGCGCAAGCCUGAUGCAGCCAUGCCGCGUGUAUGAAGAAGCCUUCUUCGGGUUGUAAAGUACUUUCAGCGAGGAGGAAGGCGAUAAGGUUAAUAACCUUGUCGAUUGACGUUACUCGCAGAAGAAGCACCGGCUAACUCCGUGCCAGCAGCCGCGGUAAUACGGAGGGUGCAAGCGUUAAUCGGAAUUACUGGGCGUAAAGCGCACGCAGGCGGUCUGUCAAGUCGGAUGUGAAAUCCCCGGG
rnacentral:rRNA from 1 species